CUAACUUUUUUUAGCUGGUUCCUAGAUUUCAAGCAAAUUUGUCAAGCCUUGCUUUAAGGCAUUAUAUUGUAUUUAUUUGUGUAAGGGCUUAUGUAAUCAAGCAAAAGUUAUAAACAGAUCAAUGCGAAUCCUUCCCUGGGCACAGCUUUUUAGUGGUUCUGUGAUGAAAGGAAACAUGUUUUAAUAACUUGUCUUUUUUUUGUUUUAUUGUCUGCU